CAGCCGCCACGGUAAUACAGAGGGUGCGAGCGUUAAUCGGAUUUACUGGGCGUAAAGCGUGCGUAGGCGGCUUCUUAAGUCGGAUGUGAAAUCCCUGAGCUUAACUUAGGAAUUGCAUUCGAUACUGGGAAGCUAGAGUAUGGGAGAGGAUGGUAGAAUUCCAGGUGUAGCGGUGAAAUGCGUAGAGAUCUGGAGGAAUACCGAUGGCGAAGGCAGCCAUCUGGCCUAAUACUGACGCUGAGGUACGAAAGCAUGGGGAGCAAACAGGAUUAGAUACCCCCGUAGUCCCUGUCUCUUAUAU
rnacentral:rRNA from 1 species